AAAAUUUGAUUUUCAGGGUUCUUUCUCCAACAUGAAGGCUAGAGUAUUAGAGGGUUUCUCUUGGGUAAUCUCUAGGGUUGGGGAAGUGAUUGUAACACCUUAGAAACACUUAUUGAUUGAAUCUCUUGGUCACGGGAAAAGAUUCGGGAAAAGGGUAGAUUUAGGAAAACUCUAAAUCUUGUAACUCUUUGUGGUUGAAUCUUUGUAAUCAAGUUGAAUCAUUCAUAGUGGAACGGAGAGCUCUCUCUCCCCCAGACUAGGUCAUUAUUGAACCGAACUGUGUAAACAAUU
rnacentral:lncRNA from 1 species